UACAGAGGGGGCAAGCGUUGUUCGGAAUUACUGGGCGUAAAGGGCGCGUAGGCGGCUUUGUAAGUUAGAGGUGAAAGCCCGGAGCUUAACUCCGGAACUGCCUUUAAGACUGCAUCGCUAGAAUCGUGGAGAGGUGAGUGGAAUUCCGAGUGUAGAGGUGAAAUUCGUAGAUAUUCGGAAGAACACCAGUGGCGAAGGCGACUCACUGGACACGUAUUGACGCUGAGGUGCGAAAGCGUGGGGAGCAAACAGG
rnacentral:rRNA from 1 species